rnacentral:rRNA from 1 species
UGCCUUCUUAUGUUCCGUACAAUAAGAGAUGAGGUGUAAAGGUGCUAUGUGUUCAACGGAGAGACGGCCUAAUUAUUAUUGAGUGAGUGCUCAAAGAAGGUGAAAAGCCUGUAUGGUCGUCGUCGUCUGUUGAACCGUAACACUGAAGAGUCUAGUUGUUUGAGAGUACAACUUAAAGCUGGUGGUAAAUUUCAUCAAAGGCUAAAUAUAUGAGGGGACUAAUAGCGAACAAGUACCAUGAGGGAAAGUUGAAAAGAACUCUGACGAGAGAGUUCAAUAGUACGUGAAACCAUAUUGAGUAAAACAGAUAACUGUGUCGUUAUGUGGUGUGCCUAUCAACAGUACAAUCGGUGUUGUGCUGCCGCGAAUGAUGGUUGUCUAUUCAGCUGGUUGUUCGUGGUUAACAUAGCCGGCAGUGCUGUGCACUAGUGCGCACUCGUUCAUUGAGAAACCAUACUGCUGCAGCAUCGGCGUGCGUCAGUCCGCACCUAGUGCACAGACGCAAGCUGCGCCUCAGCUAGCUGGUGUGGUUUAGCUGUUCGACAGCUGUGAGUCGCGUUUACUGCCGGUAGCUACUGUAUCUGCGAAUUGGUUAAUUCCUUUUUGCGGAGAGUACGUUGCCCUAGGUAAGCGGCUCGCCAUCAAUGCUUGACAUUAGUUAUCUGACCCGUCUUGAAACACGGACCAAGGAGUUCAAAUGGCACGCGAGUCAUUGGGUCUUGGCACCCGAAGGCGAAGUGAAAUGCAAACGUAUUGUUAUUUGUGGUUGUUCCAUGAAGAAGCGAUAAGCUACUCAUGCUUCUGGCAUUUGUAGA